GAGACCCGUUUCUCUAGUUGCCAACGAAUCCUAAAGGGAUGUCGGGCACUCUAGAGGGACUGCCACCGAUAAGGUGGAGGAAGGGGCGGGCAACGGCAGGUCAGUAUGCCCCGAAUCCCCCGGGCCACACGCGAGCUGCAAUGGUAGGGACAGAGGGUCUCUACCCCGAAAGGGGAAGGUAAUCCCUAAACCCUAUCUCAGUUGGGAUCGAGGGCUGUAACUCGCCCUCGUGAACAUGGAAUGCCUAGUAACCGCGCGUUAUCAGCGCGCAGUGAAUAC
rnacentral:rRNA from 1 species